GCCACCGCCCUGUCCUCCCGUCCUCGGCGUUGCCUUCCCCUCCCUCUUUCCCACUGACGCCUUGAAAACCCUUAUUUGCGCAUUCACUCACGCUUGAGGGUUAAAAGAUUAAGAGUUUCUCUAACCACGGCUACCCUCUAAAAGUCACAUUUUCCCCCUUUUUCCAGUCACUCUCUGAAAGAGAACGAAGUAAUUUUCUGAAGGGAAGCUGCAGAAUAUGGAAAACAUAUAUUGGAGCUACAUGGACAGAGGAUCACAUGAAGCCAAGAGUUGAAGACCAGCCUGGGUAACACAGUGAGACCUCCUCAUCUCAAAAUAACCCAGUGUGGUGGUCCAGCAUGGGUGACAGAGACCCAUCUCUAAAAUUAAUAAACAAAUAAAUCUCUA
rnacentral:sRNA from 1 species